AACGAACGCUGGCGGCGUGCUUAACACAUGCAAGUCGAGCGGGAAAGUUUCCUUCGGGAAGCGAGUACAGCGGCAGACGGGUGAGUACAACGUAGGUAACCUACCCUCGAGACCGGGAUAACCUGUCGAAAGACGGGCUAAUACCGGAUAAGACCACAAGGGCUGCGGCCUUUGAGGUAAAAGAUGGCCUCUGCUUGCAAGCUAUCACUUGGGGGAUGGGCCUGCGCGCCAUUAGCAGUUGGUGAGGUAACGGCUCACCAAGGCAAAGAUGGCUAGCUGGUCUGAGAGGAUGGCCAGCCACACUGGGACUGAGACACGGCCCAGACUCCUACGGGAGGCAGCAGUGGGGAAUAUUGCGCAAUGGGCGAAAGCCUGACGCAGCGACG
rnacentral:rRNA from 1 species